UGGAUAACCUGCCCUCGGCACCGGAAUAGCCCGGGGGAAACUCGGAUUAAUGCCGGAUAGCCCCACAGCCCGCAGGGGCGGUGGGAAAAGGUAGCUUCGGCCUCUGGCCGAGGAUGGGUCCGCGGCGGAUUAGCUAGUUGGUGGGGUAACGCCCACCAAGGCGACGAUCCGUAGCUGGUCUGAGAGGACGAACAGCCACACUGGGACUGAGACACGGCCCAGACUCCGUACGGGAGCAG
rnacentral:rRNA from 1 species